rnacentral:rRNA from 1 species
AGAACGAACGCUGGCGGCAUGCCUAAUACAUGCAAGUCGAACGAACUCUUCGGAGUUAGUGGCGCACGGGUGCGUAACGCGUGGGAAUCUGCCCCUUGGCUCGGAAUAACAGUUGGAAACGACUGCUAAUACCGGAUGAUGACGAAAGUCCAAAGAUUUAUCGCCAAGGGAUGAGCCCGCGUAGGAUUAGCUAGUUGGUGAGGUAAAGGCUCACCAAGGCAACGAUCCUUAGCUGGUCUGAGAGGAUGAUCAGCCACACUGGGACUGAGACACGGCCCAGACUCCUACGGGAGGCAGCAGUAGGGAAUAUUGGACAAUGGGCGAAAGCCUGAUCCAGCAAUGCCGCGUGAGUGAUGAAGCCUUAGGGUUGUAAAGCUCUUUACCCGAGAUGAUAAUGACAGUAUCGGAGAAUAAGCCCCGGACUAACCGUCCGUCGCCAGCAGCCGC